AUGACCAAGAGUCGUCGCGGCAAGCUCUACAUCGACGAUGCAAACUGGGGUCCCGACGCCGGCUCAAUUGAGUACGGGUACCGGGUCCCCUUCGGCGGAAUUCAUGUCUUCAUUGGCAAGAUUGGUGAGCCGGGCCCUGAGCCGGAUCUCUGCGCCGAUCUCAUCGAGACGGCUCAGCGUGCACGACCCGCCCGGGCUCUACCUUCUUUGAAGCAUGCUUUUGUGGGAUGUGUUCAUGGAGGACUCUCUGAAGGAUCUGGAUCUGGUGAUGAGACGGCCGCCGGCUCUGACGGCGAGUCGUCUACGGAUGAGUCAAACUCGUUGUAUCAACUUCAAGAUGGCAGGCUCAGGGGUUGUUCCGACGGCGACAGUAUUCUGGACCCCUUUGAACCGCCGAAUCGGGUUGGAAUCUUCAUGGCCGGCGCACAGCCUGUUCAGAACCCCGCCUCCGGGUCAGGAAGCCCGGUGCCCUCGCCGGCUCAGGUGCUGAUGGAUCUCACCGACAAGAUGACGGUCCUGUUGACCGCUACGGUGGCUCCGGCGGAUCAAGUUCAACAUGACGCGGAGGUGGCACAGUUAAAGAUGGAUCUAGCAAAGGCCAAGGAGGAUCUGGCGGCGGAGGGGAUCAGGAUGGCUGCAGAGAGGGCGGCUCUCGACGCCCAGACUCAGCUGAUUCAGGCACAGUCCUUCCGGCUCACGAUGGAUCAAAACGCAUCCAAUGAGGUCAUGAGAAGGAGGCAUCAAAAGGCCCAAUCUCGACUCCCUCCGGUUUACGAUCCUCGAAACCUCUUCAACACGCCGGGUGCAGGGUCUAGUAACCCGCCGGAGAUCAUAGUGCCCGGGGCUGGGACACCAAUUCAGCCCCAAGUGAUGGGACCUCCACGGGUGAACCCUGCCCCGCCUCAGUACGUGCCAAUACCACCGGGUCAUUAUGCCAACCCGCUGGAAAACAUGGUCGCCGCGGCGGCACGGCUGGCGGCUCUCCCAAUUGAUGGCGACUCUCCAACGGCGGUUGAAACCCGCCGGGUCAGAGAACUCCUUCAGACAGCUCUGGCGCAGCAAGAGGCGUACUCUUAUAGCCGGGACAGGAUCCAUUCAACCCCUCGUUCAGGCCGGAGCCCGAGUUAUAGCAGACACAUGGUAUCAGCGACCGGCUCAAGUAAUGUCCGACGCCAUGACUUGCCACCUGGCCACGGCCCGGCUCAUAACGGGCCUUUCACGCAGCAGACCAAGACAGAGCACGGCAAGAGGCGGAGCAGGUGCCUCAGUUGA
rnacentral:rRNA from 1 species